UACGAAAGGUCCAAGCGUUACUCGGAAUUACUGGGCGUAAAGCGCGCGUAGGCGGCUUUGUAUGUCGAUUGUGAAAGCCCCGGGCUCAACCUGGGAACUGCAGUCGAAACUGCAAAGCUUGAAUGUUGGAGAGGUUGGAGGAAUACCUAGUGGAGAAGUGAAAUUCGUAGAGAUUAGGUGGAACACCAGAGGCGAAGGCGCCUGACUGGCCAAACAUUGACGCUGAGGCGCGAAAGCGUGGGUAGCAAACAGG
rnacentral:rRNA from 1 species